AGCGAACGUUAGCGGCAGGCUUAACACAUGCAAGUCGAGCGAGAAAGGGGCUUCGGCCCUGAGUAAAGCGGCGGACGGGUGCGUAACACGUGGAUAAUCUGCCCUUCAGUGGGGAAUAACGUUCCGAAAGGAACGCUAAUGCCGCAUGUCACAGCAAUGUCUCUGGACAAAGUUGGAAAAGGGGACGCCCGCAAGGGGUUCUCGCUGGAGGAUGAGUCCGCGGCCCAUCAGCUUGUUGGCGGGGUAAUGGCCCACCAAGGCGAAGACGGGUAGCUGGUCUGAGAGGACGAUCAGCCACACGGGAACUGAGACACGGUCCCGACUCCUACGGGGGGCAGCAGUGAGGAAUAUUGGGCAAUGGGCGAAAGCCUGACCCAGCAACGCCGCGUGGAGGAUGAAGGCUCUAGGGUUGUAAACUCCUUUUGUGGGGGAAAAGAGAGGAUGGUACCCCAAGAAUAAGUCACGGCUAACUACGUG
rnacentral:rRNA from 1 species